rnacentral:tRNA from 1 species
GGCCCCGUAGCUCAAUGGAUAGAGCAACAGCCUUCUAAGCUGCUGGUUGCAGGUUCGAUUCCUGCCGGGGCCGCCA